UGUGACAUACCUAUUUGUUGCCUCGGCGGUGCCUGUUCCGACAGCCCGCCAGAGGACCCCAAACCCUGAUUACAUUUAAGAAGUCUUCUGAGUAAACCGAUUAAAUAAAUCAAAACUUUCAACAACGGAUCUCUUGGUUCUGGCAUCGAUGAAGAACGCAGCGAAAUGCGAUAAGUAAUGUGAAUUGCAGAAUUCAGUGAAUCAUCGAAUCUUUGAACGCACAUUGCGCCCGCUAGUAUUCUGGCGGGCAUGCCUGUCCGAGCGUCAUUUCAACCCUCAAGCCCCCGGGCUUGGUGUUGGGGAUCGGCGAGCCUCCGCGCCCGCCGUCCCCUAAAUCUAGUGGCGGUCUCGCUGUAGCUUCCUCUGCGUAGUAGCACACCUCGCACUGGGAAACAGCGCGGCCACGCCGUUAAACCCCCAACUUCUGAACGUUUGACCUCGGAUCAGGUAGGAAUACCCGCUGAACUUAAGCAUAUCAAUAA
rnacentral:rRNA from 1 species